ensembl:lncRNA
CAGAUGGUUACCCUGGCCUGGUUAUGACCAGAUGGUUACCCUAGCCUGGUUAUGACCAGAUGGUUACCCUGGCCUGGUUAUGACCAGAUGGUUACCCUGGCCUGGUUAUGACCAGAUGGUUACCCUGGCCUGGUUAUGACCACAUUUCUUGUUUUUUACUUUGCGUGAGUUUCCCAAAGCCACCCAAAAUCAUUCAAGAGAGAAAUAUAACACAAUACAAUGCCCCUUUUUACUAUUCUUGCGUAAAAUGGGUUAAAAUUAGUAUCAUGAUCCGAAUAUGAUCAUAACAUUGACCAUUUGAAUGCCAUUUUGCCUUUAUGGUGAUGCGACAAGUGUCUUCUGUAAAUAACGAUGGAUCUGCCUGUGUGUAUUUUUAGUCCCCCCCCCCCAAAAAAAAACGUUUUGUGUAAAUCAGAUGUGGAAAAAGCCUCCUGCAGUUUAUUUUAGACAAGGGGUAAUUUAUUUUUUUAUGUAGUGAUGAUACUCUUGUUUUCACAGUUUAUGCGGUAAAACAGUUUAGGGCCGUUGAGAGUGAUUGAGAAUGUCCUGAAAGGGAUACAACAUGUAUUCACAACUCAAAGGUCAUUGUUGAGAGGAGGGUAGGAGAGUUAGAGAGAGAAAGAAAAGGGAAUAUCCCAAUAACAAGAUUACCAGAAAACACAGAAAAAAAUGGUUGAUAAAAUCUCUAUCUAAUUUUUUUACAACGUUUUUGAUACAGCAUCAAAUUGUUUAAAAAAAAUAAUCUAUAAAUACAUUAAUAGUGUACUGCAAUUUUUAAAAUCUUAGAGUAGAGAAUUGAUCCCUUAUUAUAUACCUUUUCUCAUUGGUCACCUAUUUCAAGUGAUUUUUUUUUUUGAUUUUGCCAUAUUGUCGAAUUGAAAUGUACCUCCUGUUAUACAGUCGGAAUGACCCAUUUCAUGUAAUCACACAUUUUAUUUAAUGUUCAAAUUCUUCACUAACGACUUUGAAAGUGACCCUUUGCAAUAAUGUAAGGAGCUGCCUGGUGGUGGUGGUGGUGAGUGGUCAAUGCAGGUUAAGAUGAGUGAUGAUGUUUUACACGCAUAAUGAUGAUGAUCAUGUACACGCAUAAUAAUGAUGAUGAUGUGCACGCAUAAUAAUGAUGAUGAUGUACACGCAUAAUGAUGAUGAUGAUGUACACGCAUAAUAAUGAUGAUCAUGUACACGCAUAAUGAUGAUGAUGAUGUACACGCAUAAUGAUGAUGAUGAUGUACACGCAUAAUGAUGAUGAUGAUGUACACGCAUAAUGAUGAUGAUGAUGAUGUACCUACAUAGUUUGUUUUUGCCAGAUACCAAGUGUUGCUUUUUUGAGUGUCCAUUUAUUAUGGAAGCCGACCUCUGUCUAUCUAUAUCCAGAUAAUUCUUCCUUCUUCACACGUUUGAAAUUCUAAUCCAACAAGUUCCCAUAGUAUUGGAAUGAAUGAAUCAUCAAUAUAUAUAUAUAACAGAGUGGAUUAUGAUGGUAUAUCUCGCUUGGUAUGUUGCCGUACAUUAUAAUAUAGAGAUUUAUUUUUUAUUGAUGAGCUUUGAUUAUAAUUGGUUUUCUAAUGCUUCCCCAUAUUGAUGUGUCAGUAUGUGUACGUCCGUAGAGGUUUCAUUAAGGAGUGUAUCCAUCUCUCUAAUCUGUCAGCCAUUUUGAGACUCCCUGAUUCCUGUCACAAUAACUGGCUCGUAAUUCUUUCUCCUUGAACUAAAACCGGUAUUAUUAAUCUGACCAGACGACACAUUGUGAUCUGGAACCUCGAACCGUUCAAAAGGUUAACAUGUUCGUAGAUCUCCUUUCAGUUCAAUGCCUCCAUCACACUCACCACCAUGAAAUACAGACAGAGUUUAUUGGUUAUAUGUAAAGAACUUGCUUCCCCCCCCCGCGUCCACAGAUCAUGUCUCCACUUCAGCUCUAUUGAUUUCAGGACGAGGAACAAACUGCAGUAAUAGUCCUAGAUGGUUUAUCCCAAUAGGGUUGUUAGUUAGUCAAAUAAGAAAUAUAUAGUUACUUAUGACAGUUACUGAGAUUGAUGAAGAUUUGAUCCACGUUUGAGUGAGAUUCAUAGAACAAUAGGUAGGGUCGAUAAUAGGUAAGUAGAUAAUAAGUAGAUAAUAGGUAAGUAGAUAAUAGGUAAGUAGAUAUUAGGUAAGUAGAUAGUACAAGGACAGGUUUUUCUUGUUGUUUGUUGUUGGUUUGCGUAUAUUUUAAGUGGCGUAGUCAUUUCAGCGUUAAGCUCAAUUCAUUCAUUAGGCUAGCGAAGAAUCGUGCUGAUCCUAGUUACACUGAUCCUAAUUUAAGAUGAGUGUGUGUGAAGUGUACAGGUUGUGUUAAAAUCGUACAUGACGUAAGUGACGUGUGUUUCUCAAAUUCGGCUUUAUUCCCAUUUGACUCAAAUUGAGAGGAGAUGAUGAUCUGAUUUUGUGCGAAGCUUAACGGAGAAGAAUCCAAACGAUGCAAAAAAAUAUAUAUAAAUAUGUAAUAGCAGUCAUUCAUUUGUAACUGAUUCAAAUGCCUCGUUGACAGAAUAUCUUAUCUGUUGGGCUUCAUUUCAAGUUACAUUUCAGCAUUACAUUUCAGAUAUUAGCAAACGGUUAUGCGAAAGACAUGGAAUCAACAAUAAAAAACACAUUGUUCUAUUAUUUUAGAACACGAUAGCCUGAAGGAUUAACAUUCAGGUGUAGCAACCUUUACGUUUUGUUCGAGUUUACCCUCCAUCUCAUUUAGCUUUUCUGUUUCAGGUGUAGCAACCUUUACGUUUUGUUCGAGUUUACCCUCCAUCUCAUUUAGCUUUUCUGUUUCAGGUGUAGCAACCUUUACAUUUUGUUCGAGUUUACCCUCCAUCUCAUUUAGCUUUUCUGUUUCAGGUGUAGCAACCUUUACGUUUUGUUCGAGUUUACCCUCCAUCUCAUUUAGCUUUUCUGUUUCAGGUGUAGCAACCUUUACGUUUUGU